rnacentral:rRNA from 1 species
AUACGGAGGGUGCAAGCGUUACUCGGAAUCACUGGGCGUAAAGCGCGCGCAGGCGGUCUUUUAAGUUGGAUGUGAAAGCCUACAGCUCAACUGUAGAACUGCAUCCAAAACUAUUAGACUAGAGUCUGGGAGGGGAAGAUGGAAUUAGUUGUGUAGGGGUAAAAUCCGUAGAGAUAACUAGGAAUACCAAAAGCGAAGGCGAUCUUCUGGAACAGUACUGACGCUGAGGCGCGAAAGCGUGGGGAGCAAACAGGAUUAGAUACCCCGGUAGUCC